UCACCCCUCAAGCCCGGCUUGUUGUUGGACGCCGGCGGGGCCUCUCGGGGCCCUGCCCGUCUCAAAGAUAAUGACGGCGUCUGUGAGGACUCCUGUACACUGAGCUUUCGGGCACGUACUAGGCUAGAACUCCAGACCCGGUCUUUGGGUUGUCGUCGGUCACACGGCGGCGCCGCACUUUUUCACAA
rnacentral:misc_RNA from 1 species